GGCGUACAGAGGGCCACCACAGAAGGUCAGAUGACGGAUUUAAUUGGUUCUCCCCUCAGUAUACUUGUGGGCCAAUGCUCAAACAGAAAGGCUGUACAACACUCAUUUAGGUAUUCAGUUUGCAUAAGGAGUAGCGCUGGUUCAAUGAUCCAAACUAGUGAUGUAAUGGCCCCAUUAUUAAAUGCAAUGUACCAAAAUUCCAUUAUACUGGAAGAUCCCAGCUAUAUGAUAUUAGGCUUUUUUCUUGGUUGAAUGUGAAUGUUGCUGUAUUUUCGUUUUUAACCAUCAAUUUGUUGACCCCUAUGAAGGGGUAGGAUGCUGCUAAUUAGGGAGAUUUGGUGUUUGGGCCAUCCAAACAGGUCCUUUAUAUCAAUUUAACUGCAGAACCUUUUAGCCAAGGCAUUCUAUAAUACUUCUUAUUUUAGUGUCAGACAAUUCUUUUUCCCUUUUUGGCUGCUCAUUUGUUUCGAUCAAAUAUAUUUAUUUUUUUGUUAGCAUAGAUUUAAAUUGUUGUAUCAACGUUCUUCCUAAGAUUGCUUUUAGAUGGAGCUGUCAUGAUCCGUCAUGUCCAGGUGGCAACCUGGGAUUGCGUAUUGUUAUGGGUAAAAAUGGACUGACCAAACAACUGAAAUAAGAGAGCACAAAACGAUCAAAGUAGCUCGGCCCCAACCGCUGAGCUUGACCUCUACGAGUGGUCCGAGCAUCUACCUUGAGCAACGACUGCAGCUUUGGCUGAUGCUACACUGUCGCCACCAGCAAACCACUAACUAUUGACCUGCCCUGUCCCAAAGAAAGGUCUUAACCAUGAUCAACAGUUUAGCUUGGUCUGGGUGCUUACCGACCACAACUGACAGCAAGUCGGUUCAUAUAGACCUCGACCCAGCCAUCCUGGAGGUCGGACUCAAUCAUUUACCCAGAUGUCAUCGGAUCUCGACCACCUGGGUUUCUUACUUAAGAAAGAUCUCCCCAAGGACCUUGGGAAGAUGACCACAUCACAUUCGGAAGAAGAUCCCUUUCGCAAUACGCAGUUACCAUCCAAGAGGCAUUGCUAUAUACAUCUUUGGAACUAAAGGUUGUAAAUAAGGGUCUCCUCUACAAUAGAAGGUACGCACAACAUACAUACUAUAGCCAUACGUUCAACUAGACCCAACUUGCCCGCACUUACUUUGGCAUUGGAGGGUCCCUGGAUGUAGCCAGUGUUUCUAUUGUUAUCUUGUUUUGCAAAUCCAUAAGCAGUCUAAGGAGGACGUCUAGAUUUCAACAUCAACAUGUAUCAUAAAUACAAUUAAUUUUUUAUGGAAAUAAAGAUUUUAUAUGUUUGGGGUGGUA